AUAGUUAUCUUGCAGGGGAGACACCAUGAUCACGAAGGUGGUUUUCCCAGGGUGAGGCUCAUCCAUUGCGACCUUUGCGAUUUCCCCAAAUGCGGGAAACUCGACUGCAUAAUUUGUGGUAGUUAAGAAGAUAC
rnacentral:snRNA from 1 species